AAAAACAGUGUUUAGUGACAUAUGGAUGCUUGUGUCUCCUUUAACUAAUAUUAAAAGAAGCAUGCUGCAUUUUAAAGCUAGAAGGAAUCUUAGUGAUUGCCUUAUUCGAGCUCCCUGUCUUACAGAAAGGAAAAUAAGGUAAACGCAGGUAAAGAGGUCGCUGAAAGUCACAACAUUAAGUGGCCCCUAAAUUUCUGAGACUAUGAUGCAGAUCUCCUGACUCUUAAGGUUUUAAUUCUCAGGACCAGCGCAUGCUCCAUAACUUUCAACUAGACAUAAUGCCUUCUAAGAGUAAUUAGGAAAAUGCAAAUCAAGCGGAUGUUAGCCUAAGUAUCUAACUGACCACCUUACUCCCACAGUUAAAGAGCCAGCAACUUUGCUGAGAAGGGAACUUGCCUUAAGUUCUAUGCCCUGGUAUGUUCUCUUAGACAGCGUGGGCACAGAGGACCCUCAAGGGAGGAGAGGGUGCUGGAACGCCAAAAACUCAAAGGUCACAAAACUGAGAACACGUCACCAUGAUCCACAGCACAUACAAGUCAAGACACUCAUGAGANGGGGGGGGGGGGAGUGUGUGUGUGUGUGUGUGUGUGUGUGUGUGUGUGUGUGUGUAAUAUAUUCAUUUUCUUCAGCUCUCAACCUUAUCAAGGAAAAUGCUGGGCAAAGUAUAUAUACCACUAAAUUAUUAUUUAGCUACUACACAGUAUGUAGGAAUAUGCAAUCUUGGGUUCAUUUCAAAAACUUAGACUUGUAAAUGACUUAAACUGUAGCCCUUAACCUUGGACGAACAUUAAUCUGAGGAGCUUAUACAAAAAACUAAUGCCUGGACUCCAGCCCAGAUCAAUUACAUCAGAAUUUCGAAGACUGAGGUCUAGGCAUCAGUGCCAUUUCUGUCCCUAUUAUGCCAAAAUGCAUGUUACAUCACAUUCAAUGAAUGAAUCAACAAACAGAUGUUUCUGAAUACCUCCUUCAUAGGGGGCAAUAUGACAGGCGUUGAGAAUAUUAAAAAAAAAAAAAAAAAAAGACAGAAAAAUGAGAUGUGUUUCUCACCAUCAAGGAGGGGAGCUUUCUAAAAUUCUGGUUUCUUAUUUUCCACUGUAGACAUUUCCACUUUGGGGUUUUGUUUUUUGUUUUCCCAUGAUUAAUGGCAAAAUUCCAAUACCCCCCCAACCCCACUCCCGCUCACAUACAUACACAAAGGUCAGAGCCCCUCACUUGCCACAAGACGUAUUUCUCCAGACUGGCAUUGAUCCAUUAAUUAAAUUGUCAGUUCCUUUGUUCAAACAGGGGAAAAUCCAUUUAACCACAUUAUCAUCUAACCCACAUUAGCUUUAUGGUAUACUGCGUCCAUUAAGGUACCAUUCGAGGGUUUUAUAGAAGUGGUGCAGAUCUAAAUGUGCUAUACAAAUCAUCUUCUUCUGAGCACUGUUUUCACUUUACCAAAUUAUUAAGUGAUGUCCGUUGGGUGGACAUAGAAAGAGAGUACCUGAAUUGAUACGACACACAAUUGCUGGGUAGAGCCUCCAUACAAAGCUAUCUUUCCAUAUGAUUACCUUAAUGUACUGAUUCUCUUAAUAAGUAGCAAUUUUUCCCAUAAGUACAGAAUUUUUUAACAGACAUAAAAAUAUAAUACACCUUCACAUAAAGUAUUUCACUUAUAUUAAAUAUGGAAUUCCCAUUCUGGCUCAGUGGGUUACAAACCUGACUAGUAUCCAUGAAGAUGUGGGUUUGAUCCCUGGCCUUGCUCAGUGGGUUAAGGGUCCAGAGUUGCCAUGAGCUAUGGUAUAAAUAUCUCUACAGUGAGGCAAUUUGCAUGUUCUACCUGGUGGGGGGGGCACUGUAUUUUUACAAAUGUAUCUGUGA
rnacentral:lncRNA from 1 species